AACGCACAUGGCGCCUUCCAGUAUCCUGGGAGGCAUGCCUGUCCGAGCGUCGUUUCAACCCUCGAGCCCCCCGUGGCCCGGCGUUGGGGAUCUGCCACGGCAGGCCCCGAAAUCCAGUGGCGGACCCGCUGGGCCCUCUCCUUGCGUAGUAGCAUCAGCCUCGCAUCGGGAGCCCGCGUGGCAUCCUGCCCCUAAACCCCCCACAAGCCCGCCCCGGCGGCACCAAGGUUGACCUCGGAUCAGGUAGGAAUACCCGCUGAACUUAA
rnacentral:misc_RNA from 1 species